rnacentral:rRNA from 1 species
CCUACGGGAGGCAGCAGUGGGGAAUAUUGGGCAAUGGGCGCAAGCCUGACCCAGCAAUGCCGCGUGAAGGAAGAAGGCUUUCGGGUUGUAAACUUCUUUGACAGGGGAAGAGCAGAAGACGGUACCCUGACAACAAGCCACGGCUAACUACGUGCCAGCAGCCGCGGUAAUACGUAGGUGGCAAGCGUUGUCCGGAAUUACUGGGUGGAAAGGGCGUGUAGCCGGGAAGGCAAGUCAGAUGUGAAAGCUGGAGGCUCAACCUCCAAAUUGCAUUUGAAACUGUUUUUCUUGAGUGCUGGAGAGGCAGACGGAAUUCCUUGUGUAGCGGUGAAAUGCGUAGAUAUAAGGAGGAACACCAGUGGCGAAGGCGGUCUGCUGGACAGCAACUGACGGUGAGGCGCGAAAGCGUGGGGAGCAAACAGGAUUAGAUACCCCAGUAGUC